rnacentral:rRNA from 1 species
GCCGCGUGAGCGAUGAAGGCCUUCGGGUCGUAAAGCUCUGUCAGGUGGGAAGAAACUUCCGUUGACUAAUAAUUGACGGAACUGACGGUACCACCAGAGGAAGCACCGGCUAACUCCGUGCCAGCAGCCGCGGUAACACGGAGGGUGCAAGCGUUGUUCGGAAUCACUGGGCGUAAAGGACGCGCAGGCGGUUCGGUAAGUCAGAAGUGAAAUCCGUCGGCUCAACCGACGAACGGCUUCUGAUACUGCUGGACUUGAGUACGGGAGAGGAAAGCGGAAUUCCCAGUGUAGAGGUGAAAUUCGUAGAUAUUGGGAAGAACACCGGUGGCGAAGGCGGCUUUCUGGACCGAUACUGACGCUGAGGCGUGAAAGCGUGGGGAGCAAACAGGAUUAGAUACCCUGGUAGUCCACGCUGUAAACGGUGAGUACUAGGUGUAGGGGGUACCGACCCCCCCUGUGCCGCAGCUAACGCAAUAAGUACUCCGCCUGGGAACUACGGCCGCAAGGCUAAAACUCAAAGGAAUU